GCUAAUGUCACUUCACCAACACUUCCGUGCUCACUGGAAAUGAUAUCUUGUUUUAAGGAUGAUUUACCAGCAUUUAGAGCAGAAACUGAAUUCUCCUUGUAGUUCAUAUAAGAUUUUAUGCUUUCAUCUUCUUCCCUAAUCUCAGGUAUUUCGUCAUCAUCUUGCACCAUUGAAGCUUGAAACUUCAAAUCCUCCAGAUCAAAGUUCCAGGCACUAACACCUCGUUGGUAUUCACUCUGUGAUAUUGCUUCUUGCUCG
rnacentral:misc_RNA from 1 species